UACGUAGGUGGCAAGCGUUGUCCGGAUUUAUUGGGUUUAAAGGGUGCGUAGGCGGGUAUUUAAGUCAGAGGUGAAAGACGGCCGCUCAACGGUCGCAGUGCCUUUGAUACUGGAUAUCUUGAGUGCAGACGAGGUCUGUGGAAUGGAUGGUGUAGCGGUGAAAUGCUUAGAUACCAUCCAGAACACCAAUUGCGAAGGCAGCAGACUAGGGUGCAACUGACGCUGAGGCACGAAGUGCGGGGAGUCAAACAGG
rnacentral:rRNA from 1 species